CGUUUGUCGUUUCAACGCUCUGCUGCUGUCCAGAGCUGCCAACUUCGUUCAUUCGUUUAUUCAUUCUUGUCUGUGCCGGUUGGCUCUUUUUGUAUCUCCGCUCCAUCUUCAACCUGGACUGCCACUACCACUGCCGCUGCCGCUCUUCUCCACUCUCUACUCUACUCGCACACACCCACAGCGGACACACAGACGGAACAGCCGCCAGUCAGUGCAAAUGUUAAACAAAGCCAUACACAAAACGAAAGAAAAAAAAAAACAGUAACAGUAACAGUGCAAAAGAAAAGUGCGAAAAGUGAACAUUACGUCGAGUCGAAAAGAAAACAACAAAUCGCCGCCCAGCCAGACAAUGCGUCAUUCGCUCAUUCACUCAAUCUUGAAAUAAAAGCGGUGCUAUCGCAGCAGACACUCACUCACACAACCAGACACACGCAUGCAGUUGAACAGUUACAAUUACAAAGUGCGAAACGACCGGCUGGCCAGACAUCUCACCUCACAUACACACGCAGAGAUAGCAGACGGCAGAGGCAGAGGCUGGUUGCAGACUACAGUUAUCAGAAUGCGAGCCCCAGACUGAGACUCAGACGCCGCUGCCGGCGCUACACUGCCGUCGCCUGGCGCUGUCUGGAAUUUGUAUUUCACAUAUGUAUGCACAGACGAGAGAAUCAGAGGCAGCCACGGCUAACCGGAUGUUGCACACACUCUGGACCCCAGCACAGGCAGAGGCAAAGGCACAGGCACGAGCAGCCAUCUUUGUCAUCCUUCGAAUCUCAGCCUUGGCUAAGGUCGCUCCUGCCCUCCCAUCGAGCAGCAGCAGCAACAGAGUGAGACAUACACAAAGUAACCUAGAGAAAGAGAGAGAGAGAGCGAGAGAAGUAAAUUUAUAAAAAAUGCUAGACUCCACUCAGCUACACUCCGCCCCGAGUGGACCGACUGACUGGUUUGGCGUGUUGGCCUGGCCAAAAUGGAUUUUUUACGGCCCCGAAUAAACAACAACAGAAUCAAAAGCACACAAAAGCCGCAACUGAAGAUCACAAAACGAGCAGAAACCGAAAUUGUGAAUGAUCUGUGGGGUUCGUUUCGGAAACAAAAAUUGAAGAGAAACUCAAUAGAUCUGAAAGAUAGAGAAUCGGAUGUUUUUUCGGUUUCUGGUUACUGGUUCCUACUCCUCGCUCCUGCUUUUGGCUCUGGAAAAUUCCAGAUGAGGCCAAGCUGCAUGCCACACAGGACGCACUUACCCGCACACAUACGGACCCUCCACGCUUCAUACUCCACACACUUGUACACGUAGGCACUUCCGGAAUGUAAUGGAUGGCCCCGGACUUGACUUGGCUUGACUCUCGGCUCUCGACUCUCCUCCGGUGGCUCUGGGCUCCGGGAUCGUGGGGCAUGGAGCAUGGAGCAUGGAAGACUUGACUUGGACGCUUCAGAUUCGUCGACGGACCAUGCGGACAGUGCUUUGCGGAUGUUUUGGACAUCAUCAGGUGGGCUCUGGAUCAACCUUUGGAUUCCCCGUGGGAUCCCGGGAUUGGAGGAAAAUACCUUUGCCCUGGACAAACAAAACACCCAUUAAUAUCAGGCUUCCGUCGGUUUAGUGCUGGGACAGGGACUGCAACAAUUAUUUAUUUACUCCAAUUUGCUGCUCCCCUACCCCUCCUGCAACGUCCUUGAGUGUAAUGGCAGAUAAACCAUAAAUUAUAUUACCACAUUUGAUUGCCGGGCCCCAUAACAAAUUUGAUAUGACUUGACUACUUUUUCCCCAUUGGAGGAGGCUCCAUCUAUGUUCCUGUAUGUGUCUAUGCCUGUAUUUUCCUGUGUCCCUAUCCCUGUCAUACUUUGAAUGCUUAAAUGACUAAAUGAAUGAAUGCAUUAUGUAUGCCUCCGACACAUGCCUCUUUCUCUGCGAAAUUAAUUUUUAAGCUACGAGCAUACGCAUUUAUUUGGAAAUUGAAGGGAAUGUCGUUUGUCCUCUGUCGUCUGUCGAUGUCAAGGAAUUGCAAAUCGAUCUCUCUCUGCAAAGGUCUGACUGGCUGGCUACACCCAGUGCCCGGCCCUACUGCCGGCAAAGAUUUAUGAGCCAACGCACAAAAACGUUCAUUGAAAACACAUUUUCCAUCUUUGGCUAUCUCUCUGGCAUCUCUGCUUUUCCACUUCCACCUCCACAUCCACUGUGGCGUGUGGCGCCUUGCACAGCUCUGGAGCCUGGAAUUGCAAAUUCAAUAAAGCAUUAUAUAAUAUUGCCAAGUCCCACACACUCUCACACAUACAUGGUCCCUCCAUGCGAGUGCAAUAAUUUACAACAUUUUAAUCGAAUUAGACGCUGACUCGGAAGGGGCCAAGGGAGAGACGGACCUUGGCCAAGGGGCAAAAUGCAUUUUAAGUGCUGCAGUCGACGGCUGUGAAGAACACUUUGGCACUUGGCAACAUCGAAAGCGGAAAGACAAAAAAGAAAUUAUACACACCACAAUGGGGGUAGAAAGGAGAGGAGGGGAUCCGCGGGAUCCGUUCUUGAACAUGUGCCAGCGAAUCUCCCUGUCCAGGGCCAAAUCUCAGUGGCUGAGGGAAUGGAAAUGGGACAUGGGAUGGGAAAAGCACGUAAGUCCAGCGAAUGGUUGAUAAUUAUGGGGCAGGCAUCUCUCUCUCUGACUAGAGGUGUCCUGCGGGAAAUGUGCAGUCAAUAUUCGUGGCACUUUCCUUGCACGUGGCCGCCAUAAAGUCUGCUCUUUCGUAAAAUUCGUUCUGCUAAAAAUUUCGAAACAUUUUAUUUACCAUUCCAAGAGCUUACUGCGCCACAUGCAACCAGACCCAAGUGCAACGGGGCAAGGGCACAACCAGCGCCAGAGAAUUGUCAUAAAUUCCAGGCAAUAAAUUUAUAUUUGUUUUAUUUUGCCAUUCUAGUUUUUAUGUUUUUUUGUUUGCCCAGCCCCUAACCCUGCUGCUGUCCCUGCCCCAUGCCUAGGGGCCAAACUGCAGAAUGUCAGCUAUUGUGGAGCCCCAGGCCCCAGUUCUCCAGCUGCACCCAACUCCAAUCCCAUCUUCAUGAAUCUUCCCAUCUGCAUACAGCAGAAUACUCCGAGCACAUCCUGCGAAGCGUGCUGGAAUCAAAAUGUUCGUGCUUUUCUUCGGAUCUGCGCUCCUCUUCCGGUGGCUAGCUGAAGCGGCAGCUGCCAUGCCACCUCGAGUAUUCGCUGACAUUGGACACUCGCCCGUGUCGU